UUACCAGCUUGACAUGCAAGAGAUGGCUAUCACAGGUGGUGCAUGGUUGUCGUCAGCUCGUGUCGUGAGAUGUUGGGUUAAGUCCCGCAACGAGCGCAACCCUAUCUUAUUUGCUAACAUAUGAGACUAUAGGAGACUGCCUACGCAAUAGGAGGAAGGUGGGGACGACGUCAAAUCAUCAUGCCCCUUAUGCUGGGCUACACACGUGCUACAAUGGGGUACAAGGGGCAUGGUGACAUAAGCAAUCCAAAACCGUCUAAGUUCGGAUCGAAGUCUGCAACUCGACUUCGUGAAGCCGGAAUCACUAGUAAUCGCGAUCAGAUGCGCGGUGAAUACGUUCUCGGGUCUUGUACACACCGCCCGUCACACCACGGGAGUUGGAAACCAAA
rnacentral:rRNA from 1 species